AUGAGCAGAAUGGAUGAAUAAAUAAAUAGAAGUAGAUGAGCAGAAAUAUCAGAGAUACAAAAUACUGUAUUAGCUUCCUUAAGAAACUUUCUAUUAUUUUUUAGAAUCCUGCUUUAUUCUCUUUCUUGAAUUCAUGGAUGGCAUUUAAAAUCUCUUAAAGAUGGUCAUUUCCCCUCCCACCAGGUUCCAGGUACCACUAUCUAUAAAGUGUUUUCCCAGACACAAGUUUCAUUUUUGAGUGUUGAGGUUUUUUGUUAAAAAAAGGUAAUGGAUUACCCUAUAUGAUGAGAUCAAGCUUUUGACUGGGAAAUUUUGAAGUCAAAAGUAAAGCAUAGGAAUUCCUUAAUGGACGUUUUAAAAAUUUUGAAAGGCUAAUGUAAGUGGAAGAAAGAGGGAAAAUACGUUUCAGUAGGGGAGCUUCUCACCUCUUUACUCAUAAGACAGCCUGGGCAUCAUAUGACUUCAUCAGCCUGCAACUUACUGUUCUCCACUUUGAGGGGAGUGGCAAGUGCUAUAAUAGAGAGUUCUCCAGUCUGAGGAGGUCAGCGAAAGCUUCCCAAAGGAGAUGAUGCCUGGCCAAAGGGACUUUCUAAGAAAAGUGAUUAGCAUGUGCAAAGACAAAGAGGCAUAAAGACUGACCGGAGGGGUCACAGCAAUGACAAGUUUACUGCUAACCUCGAAGAGAAGACUUUCACUGAAUGAGGGGAAGAUCGUACUACUAAUGAUUAAACUUACCUGGAGCAGUGUCUGACACAGACAUGUGUUGAGUGAAUGGAUGAAUAAAUAGAUAGAAGGAAGAUCCUUCAACUAUUAAGUUUCUUCUAUCCCUCUCCUGCUAGAUGAGAGUGCCAAGAAAUAAGAUAGAAACGCCAAGAAGAACCAAUUUGGGGCAUCGCUGCUCUACUGAGAAUACAGCUGUGAACGGCAUCCCCUGAUACUUUAGUUCUACUGAGGAAAAACAAGAUCCCUAAUGCCUGUCAUCUGGGUCAUGGGCUUUAGUUCAAGCAAGUCUCCCUCCUACCCUCUGUGCUUUGGUGGAUGACUUCAAGUUUAGGAGUGAUGGAAUGCAUGAAUUUUCAUGCUGCCUACACAUCAUUUCAGUAAGGCAACCUUGCUGGAUAUCCCGCUCCAUUUUGGAUUAUAAAAUCUAACUCCUGGGGAAUAUCAUUUCCCUUGGAGAGAAAAAUUUA